CUCGCGGCCUGGGCGGGCGUGGCGCCUCCCGCUUCCGGCGGGUUGGGUCCCGGGCCGUGCUGGGAGGACGGCGGGUCCUGCGGGACUCCGCGGCCCUCAAGGAGGAACGGCCAGGCCAGAGGAGAGCAGCGGCUGUUCGGGUGCCGAGUCUUUCCUGCUCCUGCACGUCACGGGACUCGGGCAUUUGCCAGCUAACGGAACACAGCGAGUGGUGUGUGAGCCCCAGACAAGGAAACAGAUGAGCCUUUUGAGAGCCGCGCACCCAGCAGGGAGGGGGCGUCUGGAGCGGGACGCCCUGGGCAGGCGGCUUCCCAGGGAAGCAGUGUAAGGGGGCAGCUCAUGCACAGAACCCUCGUCUCCACCUUACAGGCAGCCUCCGUCAUUUUUCUGCUUCCCUCCAAAUCUGUUUUCUGGGGCCACUUUAGUUUCCUUUACCAAACAAGGUGCAUGUGUCUGCAUGUCGGGGAACAAGUGGGGGCUGGAACGUGGGGACGGGAGCCUCUGCCUCCCUAGACACGGUCCCAGAGAGCACGCUGAGGGGGCCGUGUGCACAGCCCGCACCAGCCAUGAGGGAUGCGCCCCAGGCACUUCUGAGCAGGGCCACUGCUUCCUCGGGAGGGACAGAGCUGCUAAGCCCUGGAACAUGCCCCGCUCCCCAUGGUGCAGGGGGGAGACACCCAGGGCCCCCACAGGAGGAGCCCCACCCAGUCCUGCCAAGCAGCGGCCGCAGCGCGCACGUGUGGCACCUGGGCCUGGUAAACAGCAGGUUCUGGCUCAGCAGGUCCCUGCGCUGCCCACAGCCCCCUGGUCCAGGGGCAGCACUGUGAGGGCAGCACCCCAGCCUGGGGGAGCAGCGCCUCAUCUGAAUGGAAUGAGGAAGUGAGGAAACGUGGCCUGUCCACAAAGUGCUGCCCGCUUCUACGAGGGACACGGGAGGCACCCACUUCAGGUGCCGCCUUCCCAGCCUCACUGAGAACUGCAGACAGAUCCCAGCUGGGGGACACGCCAUACCCACCAAGCCACUGCUCUGAAAACUGCCAGAGCCGGCAGCCAACAGGCAAGCAGGAAUUCACAGCCCAGGGAAGCGUAACGAGACAUCACAAGCAAGAGUGAAGUGGGGUCCAGGGACAGGAAACGACAUUAGAUAAAAACGAAGGAAACGUGAAUUUAGCGCAGACUUCAGUUAAUGACGUAUCGACACUGGUUCACUAGCUCAUAGAAAACCCACCACGUUAAAGGGAGAUGUUAACGAUACAGAAAACCGGCCAUGGGGUAGAAGGGUCUUGUGCUAUAUUUGCAGCUUUUCUAUAAAUCUAAGAUUAUUCUAAACUUGAAAUCAAAGUCAAGAGUUCAAGCCCCAUGUGUGGCACAGACAUGACUUAAAAUAGGGGCCCCUGGGUGGCUCGGUUGAGCAUUUGACUCUUGAUUUCAACUCGGGUCAUGAUCUCACGGUUCAUGAGAUUGAGCCCCCCCAUCAAACUCUGUGCCAACAGCACAGAGCCUGCUUGGAUUCUCUUUCCCUCUCUCUCUCUCUCUCUGCCUCUCCCCCUCCCAAAAGAUAAAUAAAGGAAAAAUAAAAGACUGCCAUGCCCCAAGUGGUCUUUGAAAAAGGUGAGAUUUCAGUUGAACUGGGGGGAGUGUAGAAAGGCUGCUUUUUCUGUGGCUGUGUGUGUGUUGGAAAGAGUCCCUCGAGGAGUGACAGCCACAUCAGCACCGUGUGGCGAUGGCUGCCUGCCCCCACCCCCACUGAGGGAAGGACAGGCAGGUGCCCAGAACCUUACCGCCUGCAGCUUGUCCUGGUUGUCCCGCAGCACCUUCUCCGUGUGCCUGUGGGCCUUUGCCACCAGCACUUUGGCUUCCUGCCAAUGGGCGAACAGAUCUGUCACGAGCAGGACGGCAGACCGAUGCUCACGACAUCUCCUGUGCCUGAUUCUGGCACAGAAUUCUGGCCUCAGAGCACACGUUAGAGCCACGGGGCAGGAAGCCGACCUCCGGCUCACGGGGACCAGGACAGCGUGGCUGCCAGUGGCAUUUCCUGCCCUGACCCCAUCCCCCGCGAAUGCCCCUGUUCCAGGAGGCUGCCUCCCGCCCCUUCCCCCUUCACGGCUGCAGGCGCCCACCAGCUCCUGGAGCCCGGGGAGCGUGCGGCCACCUCACGUGUGCACCAGGCUGGAAGUGGGCCCGGCCAGGUUGCGCAGGGAGCGUGCGUGUGUCCUGCAGGUGUGGGGACCGCUGGGCACCGGCUGCAUCAUUUGGGGUGUUUCACGGACAGUUUCACCAGGGGCCACGCAAGUCCUCACCCGAGAGCUCAGAACGUGAGAGCCACGAGGGGUCAGGACUGGAAAGCCCACCACGUGGACCACGUGACGACACAGCGCCAGCACCUCAGACACCUGCUCCCUGACCCGCUGCACCGUGAGGGGGGGCAGCACGCACUCACGUGAUCCAUCAUCUGCUGGAGGCCCUGGCUGAAGGGACGCCGUCCAACUCCCGUGAGUCCCUCCUGCGCCUUGGGAAAGGACACGGGCCCGAUGCUUGGGGCCAUGCCAAACUGCCUCACCAUGGAGUAGGCGAUGCGCGUGACCUUCCUCAGGUCGUCCUGAGCCCCUGGAGCAUGGGGCCGAGAAAGAGGUUUCUCUCGGCAGAGUGGCACGGGCCUGGGCCUGACCGCAGAGGACCCAGGGGACAACUGUGCCCUGUUCCUGUUCUUUAAAGGACAGAGUCUUAAAACUCUAAACGCUCCGUGGGGUGCGCCUCUGGGUUCGCUUCCCUGGCAGCUCCCCAGCACACGUCCAGCUCUGACAGCACCCCCGUCAACGCCGAACCCCUGUGUCACUGGGGACACGAGCACCUGUACCAGAAGCUUGAGAACACUUAGUGAAAUUCAGAAGUACGUGUGUAAGCCACCCUUCGAAUUCCUCCAUCGGAUUCACCCUCCCAACCCCACGAGGAAGGCGCGGUGGAUGUAAAAGCACUUUGAGAAAAACCAGAACCAGCACGGGCCGGCUCCUCACCAGAAGUGACCUUGUUGAAGGAGAUGGAUUCCGACACGCGGCCACCCAAGGCCAUGCACAUCCGCUCGAACAGCUGCUCCCUGGUGAAGAGGUGCUGGUCUCUUGGAAGCAUCUGAGCAAAGCCCAGGGCUGCGUUUGUCCGCGGUGCGAUGGAGACCUGCGGAGUGGAGUGUCGGGUGGCCGAGUGAGCAGGCGGGAUCUGGACUUUGAGGCCGAAGGUGGGGUGGGGCAAGACGACGGGUCUUUAACUGGAGGCUUUCAAAGCAGUCAGAGCAAGUCUGCACCGGCCUCACUUUUGUGACCAAGGAGAACAGCUCACGUGCUGUUGGGCGGUGUCGUCCUUGCACGCCACGCAAAGCACAGCAAAGAUGGCUUCCUGGGUGGAGCCAAGGAGACAGGACCCCGCCCCCCAGCCCCACCCCGGGCCAGUCGUCGUGCCGUCCUGUCACCGCCCACCGCGGUGGACAUGGGACUGCACAAACCCUUGGGGACACCAAGACUGGAGACCAUCCUUGCCUUUCUCCCCCACCAGCGCAGCACCAGGUUGGCACGCGGGGGCUCUGGAGAGGAAGCUGAGAGUCUAAUACUUAAGCGAAUUACACUGUAAAAUGCUCUAAGUAAUGAUCACAUCCGCAACUGGCAGAGUGCCAGGCCGGGUGGGGGUGGGGUGGGGGGUGGUUCUCAUUAUGACAGAUUUAUCUUUUGGCCGUCAAACAGGAAAUUUUAAAUUACGUUUACUUCAUCCAGGAUUUCUCUGCAUUAAUUUUCUUGAGAUACUGCAUUCAAGUAUUUAUCUUGCUUACUGAAAUAUUUAGUGUCCCAUAAAUGUCACACCCUUGGUGACUGUCCUCAGCCUGACCCAGGUCACCUUAAUGACGGCUGCGUCCACUUGUCUGUCACAAACACUGGACUUCGGGCCCUCUGGGGGAAGGCCUCUCAGACACGACCAGACUAACAAUCUACUUGGCUACAACUGACACCUCUGAAAAGAAGUUCAAGGACAGUAAACAGACGUGUCGGCUGGCAGUGGCCACGUGUCCCCUUCUUCGGUGCUGGGGAUGCUCGGCGCUGCGGCUCCCUCCCUGCACCCGCGGGCCCCCUCUAGGCCGGACACAGGGCACAGUUCAGUCCGCACCCGCCUCCCACACCUUCACGUUUUCCUGAAGGGUCACUCGGUUCCCUGGUCAUGAAUCCACCAUUCUGGAGGAGUUGUUUAUACUAUAGGCAUUUGAUACAAAUAAAUUUUCAUCAAACUCCCAAA